UAAGCAAGAAAGAAUUGUGCAAACCAGACGUAAACAUGGCUCAGGGCUUCUCCUUCAACAUCUGAAGUUGAUAUUCCCACAAACUGCUCCCAUUACCUUGUGAAACGAAUGAAACAAGAUACCUGCUACGUUUGUAACCAACGAGGACAUUGGUCCUGGUACUGUCCUUCUUCCAAGUCACCCAAGCAAGAUUCAAGUACCCCCUGAAACUGAAAUUCCAGCAGCAACACUGUGUUAAUGCAUCUUGUUCGGCAUCUUAUGUUAUAUGUCAUGUAAUAAUUUCACGUGACACCCGCUAGUGUUUGUGAUAUCAUGUUAACAUGAGGUAUGUCUAAUUUUUUUUCUAGAUUCAUAAAACAAAUGUUACUUUUCAGUGCGAUCUCAGUGUCACUUAGCACACCAAUAAUAGAUAGCAAACCUCACCGUCAUUCUAUUGGCGUACGUUUAACAUGAAACUUCGAUUCCCAUGCUUACAUACCUCAGCGGGAACACUAUUACAUUGUUUAUCUCAUCGGCCUUGACGCUUUCGUGAAUGAGGAGGGUAGCGUCACCACCGUCAUCGACGAUGAGGUUGGGUCCUUUGUCGAGGCCCAGUCGAGGGCACACUCGGUGCACCACCAGUACUCUUGGAGGGUCUCCCUCUUUCAGGCAAAGAUGACGGCACUGUCACAAGCAGUAGCGGCGACGGCGUGGUCCUAGGUGGAGAAGAUGUUGCAGGAGCACCGACGGACCUCGGCCUAGGAAAGGUCAUUGACCUUGUACUCGAGACCACUUGUGUGGUUUUCUCCACCAACAAAGCCAUGGUUUACGCGCUGAGAAAGAAAGAAAGAAAGAAAG